GCGGGCGUAGCUUAGCUGGUUCAAAGCGCCUCCCUGUCACGGAGGAGAUCGCCGGUUCGAAUCCGGUCGCCCGCGCAA
rnacentral:tRNA from 9 species